CUGCAUAGAUAUAUGGAGUGGAGCCAGCUGAAAGCAAUAUCCUAAAUGGUGGUAAACCUGGUCCACAUCAUAUUACCGGCAAUGGGGUUGGAUUCAAACCAAACAUAUUGGACAUGGAUGUAAUGGAGAAAGUUCUUGAGGUUAGCAGUAAAGAUGCAGUCAACAUGGCCAGGGUGCUGGCCUUGAAGGAAGGAUUCAUGA